UACAGAGGUCUCAAGCGUUGUUCGGAUUCAUUGGGCGUAAAGGGCGCGUAGGCGGCGCGGUAAGUCGGGUGUGAAAUCUCGGAGCUUAACUCCGAAACAGCAUUCGAUACUGCCUUGCUUGAGGACUGGAGAGGAGACUGGAAUUUACGGUGUAGCGGUGAAAUGCGUAGAUAUCGUAAGGAAGACCAGUGGCGAAGGCGGGUCUCUGGACAGUUCCUGACGCUGAGGCACGAAGGCCAGGGGAGCAAACGGG
rnacentral:rRNA from 1 species